rnacentral:rRNA from 1 species
UACGGGGGGGGCAAGCGUUGUUCGGAAUUACUGGGCGUAAAGGGCUCGUAGGUGGCCAACUAAGUCAGACGUGAAAUCCCUCAGCUUAACUGGGGAACUGCGUCUGAUACUGGAUGGCUUGAGUUUGGGAGAGGGAUGCGGAAUUCCAGGUGUAGCGGUGAAAUGCGUAGAUAUCUGGAGGAACACCGGUGGCGAAGGCGGCAUCCUGGACCAACACUGACACUGAAAAGCGAAAGCCAGGGGAGCAAACGGG